rnacentral:RNase_P_RNA from 1 species
GCGGGGGGCCGGACGGCCGCGGGGGGCAACCUUCGAGGAAAGUCGGGACUCCACAAAGCGACGGUGCCGGGUAACGCCCGGGCGGGGCAACCCGACGGACAGCGCCACAGAGAACAGACCGCCGCAGGCGUGCCUGCGGUAAGGGUGAAACGGUGGAGUAAGAGCCCACCGGGGGGCUGGUAACAGUCCCCGCAUGGCAAGCCCCACCGGGAGCAACGCCGAAUAGGGACCCACCGCGUCGCAAGACGCUCCGGCGCUUUGCCGCAGGGGUCCGGGUUGGCAGCUAGAGGCCGCGAAGCGAUUCGUGGUUCAGAGGAAUGGUCGUCGAACCGGAGAAAUCCGGGGAACAGAAUCCCGCUUACAGGCCCCCCGCACCC